AACCACUUUUGUUCCAACAGGGUCCAGGCCUUGUGAUCCUAGAGGAUGGCACACAGUUUGAGGGUGAGGUGGGCCCAGGAGGCAGCUUUGCAGGGAAAGGAAUCCUGUGUUACCCUUCUGGGGAUGCUGUCGAGGGAUCCUUCAACGGAAGCUUCCCUGGCCCUGUCAAGAUCAGUGGGGUCCUUCGCAGAGGGGGCAGUGGAGGAGGAGGUUUGGGAGUUGGAGGAGAAGGAAAUUCAGGAAUCCCAAGGAAUCUAGGGAAACACAGUGUUCCAGCAGACAAAAAGUGGCAAGCAAUCAUCCGCCACUGUCAGGAGCAGCUCGGGCUGAACGCAGAUGUCAGUGUCACCAAGCUUUGGGAACGUCUAGCCAUUAAAUUACAUGAGGAACAACAGAUAUUGCAAAAGCGGGAAGAAGGAGGAAUUGGAUCUUGUCAAGGUGAUCUACUUGAUGGACUGGAUCACAUACCUGAUUACCUUCAAGAAGACAACCUCACCUAUGCAAUUUAUGACCAAGUUAGAAAAUACUUGGGUCAGGUAUGCUAAGGAAUUAAAAGGUUU